rnacentral:rRNA from 1 species
AAAUUGAAGAGUUUGAUCAUGGCUCAGAUUGAACGCUGGCGGCAGGCCUAACACAUGCAAGUCGAACGGUAGCAGAAAGAAGCUUGCUUCUUUGCUGACG